UUUUAUUUACUUGUCUAGUGAUCAUAUAGAGAAGAAUGUAAAACGUAUAUACUGAAUUUAAUCAGAACAUUUCAGAUAACUGUCUAGUAUAUCGCUGUGACUACGUAUUAAGUACCAGAACUACUAGAUGUCUGGAAAUGUCAUUACUUAUAUUUCCUCUGAUACUCUAAUUUAAUGUUUCUUGCUAAACACCUCUCUUUAGUCGUGUUGCAUUCUUGACAGUUAAAACAGUUUAGGACCAAACCCAUAGCUUACAACCUUUUUUUCUUUUUGUCCUUUAUUUGAACUGUGUUUCAAUAGAGCCACAAUGGUUUUGAGGUAUGUGUCUGGUAUAAAAAUUGGAAGUAAAUAGAACAAGUUAUCCCGGAAAGAUUGCUUUUGCCCGGAUCUGAAAAUAUGUAAUCUCAAAGGAGGAAUGUACCAGAAAUAUUCAUAUUCACCCACCAUUCCAACUGUCAGAAAUUAAAUGCUGUUAAAUUUCACUUCUGGUGGGUGGUGUGACUAACAGAUGGUCAUCCUCUUUGCAGAAUCUCUACAUGAUACUGUUCUCUUUUAUCUCAGGGCCUAUGAUGUGUUGCCAAAAGGGAAUUAUGAGGUCUUCGUCUCAACUGGAAUUCAGACGACAGCCAAACUGGAAAAAUUGAAAGUUGAACGUUACAACUGAAGUGAAAUAGGGGGAAACGCAUGAAAAGUAGCUGCUACCUUGGCUAAUGGGGAUCCAUAAUAAAUACAAAUGCAAGACAACUAAGUAACUCAAGCUCUGAAAGCUCCUUCAUGCCAACGAACACUAUAUUCAAGUCAGGAUAUUGAGUCACUAAUGUACUAUAAAGGAUGUUUUGACUACAUCCACUAGGGUGCACUGUAAGUCAAGUGAAAAGAGGAACAAGCCAGUGUGGUAUUCCACAAUCAUGAAACAAAUAACAUAUCUUGUAUGUAGCUAAGAAGUAAGUCAUUCAGAAAAUGUCUUGUUUCUUAAAAAUAAAAAAUACUUUGCUAUUUGGACAAAUCAAUAAAUACCACGAAAGGGACUUUUCAUGACACCAGUUGAAGGCACUGGCAGGAACACGUGGAAGUAUUUUCAGCCUGUGAGGAUCAGCCAGAAAGGAAAGCCACUAUCCCCUCCCUGACUCCCAGCCCAUCAGCUGGCCAUUUUGGUCCUCCACUGUGACUCAUGGGGAUGCACAUUAUCAGCUGCUGAGUAGUGUCAUUCAUUGAGGAACUGAUCUGAUACAGAUUUGAUUUCUGUAUGCGCUGCUCUAACCAAACAAAGGAGGAGCAAUACUUAGAUAUUAAACUCCAGCACACACUGUUUGUGACCUUUUUGAUAAACUAAUCAAUUGUAAUCAGUUAAAUUUGAUGUUCAUAUGUUGCUGCAAUGAUUGGUAUGUUAUACUGUGUGUGAUUGCUAGGGAGCCUUGCCACAAAUGUGAGUCAUUUAUUUAAUUCAACAAUGUUUUUGAGAUCUAACAUAUCCCUGCUCUUGUUAUGACAUGAUUUACUAAGCAGUAGCUACAGCUCCUUUGUUAGUACAAAUGAUAAUGAUAUUCAGCAUGUGUUUAGUUUCCUUUGGAGGGCUAGAGCCUUGGCCUGGCAGGUGAAUACGUAUAUGUAAUAUGUAACUGAAUGUUAAACUUGGUUGGGGCAAUCCAACAAUGUGAGAUAUAUAUAUAUAUAUGCAGUACCAGUCAAAAGU